rnacentral:lncRNA from 1 species
AUUUUUCUUAAACUAUAAGUAAUAGGUCAACUAUAUUUGUUGUAUGGAAUCAUUGUUAGCUGUACAUGUCUGCCUGGCAUGGUUCAUCUGACCUUGACCUCAUUUUCAUGGUUCAUUGGUCUUUGUUUAGUUAUCUUGGUUAAUGCUAAGUUUAUGUGAGUAUUUAAUAAAGCUUUAUACUUAGGACUAUCAACAUAAUAUCAAUAAUUAGUAAAGAAGGCGAGACAUUUCAGCGUGUGCACUCUUGUCUACUGUUAUUG